rnacentral:rRNA from 1 species
GGCGUGNUNNNNNCAUGCAAGUCGAACGCUNAAGCUUGGUGCUUGCACUGGGUGGAUGAGUGGCGAACGGGUGAGUAAUACGUGAGUAACCUGCCCUUGACUCUGGGAUAAGCCUGGGAAACUGGGUCUAAUACUGGAUAUGACCUCCUGUCGCAUGGUGGGGGGUGGAAAGGGUUUGUACUGGUUGUGGAUGGGCUCACGGCCUAUCAGCUUGUUGGUGGGGUAAUGGCCUACCAAGGCGACGACGGGUAGCCGGCCUGAGAGGGUGACCGGCCACACUGGGACUGAGACACGGCCCAGACUCCUACGGGAGGCAGCAGUGGGGAAUAUUGCACAAUGGGCGCAAGCCUGAUGCAGCGACGCCGCGUGAGGGAUGACGGCCUUCGGGUUGUAAACCUCUUUCAGCACGGAAGAAGCGAAAGUGACGGUACGUGCAGAAGAAGCGCCGGCUAACUACGUGCCAGCAGCCGCGGUAAUACGUAGGGCGCAAGCGUUGUCCGGAAUUAUUGGGCGUAAAGAGCUCGUAGGCGGUUUGUCGCGUCUGCUGUGAAAGCCCGGGGCUUAACCCCGGGUGUGCAGUGGGUACGGGCAGACUUGAGUGCAGUAGGGGAGACUGGAACUCCUGGUGUAGCGGUGAAAUGCGCAGAUAUCAGGAAGAACACCGAUGGCGAAGGCAGGUCUCUGGGCUGUUACUGAC